GGGCCUUUAGCUCAAUCGGUUAGAGCACGCGACUCAUAAUCGCUUGGUUGCCGGUUCAAGUCCGGCAGGGCCCACCA
rnacentral:tRNA from 1 species